rnacentral:rRNA from 1 species
UACGUAGGGUGCAAGCGUUGUCCGGAAUUAUUGGGCGUAAAGAGCUCGUAGGCGGUUCGUCGCGUCGGCUGUGAAAUCCCGAGGCUCAACCUCGGGUCUGCAGUCGAUACGGGCGGACUGGAGUUCGGCAGGGGAGACUGGAAUUCCUGGUGUAGCGGUGAAAUGCGUAGAUAUCAGGAGGAAUACCGAUGGCGAAGGCAGGUCUCUGGGCUGACACUGACGCUCAUGCACGAAAGCGGGGGGAGCAAACAGG